rnacentral:rRNA from 1 species
UGCCAGCCGCCGCGGUAACACGUAAGGUGCGAGCGUUGUUCGGAAUUAUUGGGCGUAAAGGGCUCGUAGGCGGCCUGCCAAGUCCCACGUGAAAGACCAGGGCUCAACCCUGGGAACGCGAGGGAAACUGGUAAGCUGGAAUCUUGGAGGGGGUACUGGAAUUCCUAGUGUAGGGGUGAAAUCUGUUGAUAUUAGGAAGAACACCGGGGGCGAAGGCGAGUACCUGGCCAAAGAUUGACGCUGAUGAGCGAAAGCGUAGGGAGCGAAGAGGAUUAGAUA